CGCUCUCCAGAUUAUAAAUACCUGAAAAUCCAUCGAGCCCCAUAUCCAAGAUGACAUACUAGCUAAGGGCCAUGCAGUUGUCUAGGGAUUAGCAUAGCUAAGCCUUGGCUAGCAUGAUCACCUUGCAAGGAAGAUCCGCAUUGGAAUUCUUGAGCUAGAGUCAUUAAGAUCAAGGUAGGAUCCCAGUGGUGAUCUUGUGAUGUACAAUCAUUCGUGGUGAAGUAAUAGAUGUGUUCUUG
rnacentral:lncRNA from 1 species